CUAGAUAUUCAAUAUAUUGUAUUUUUCGGAAAGUAAGGAAAACACGACAUCAAAAUAUCUUUCAGACGCUUGUAAAGUGAUAUAAAACACCUUCGAAUCAAACACUGAGGAACAGAGACUAUUUCGGUGCUAUGACGAAAUGGGACGUAGAGACAACGAAAUAACCACGUGACAUAGGCGUAUAAAUAACCAAGCGCAACGUUUGUCGUCGUAUUAGCGACAGAAACACGAGCAAGGAAGGAGGUCCGUGCCACGCAACGAGGUACAGCUUCACGUGCCUUGAGAGUUGAUCGACCUGUUACAGGAUCUGGUUGACCUCCCGGUCUAGAUCUUGUUUCUUGGGUUUGCGGAUAUGAUCGAGACGGCACAGGUAAUGGCUGUGUAUUCAAAUGGAUAAGUGUAUAAGAUCAUCUUUAAUGUUAAAUAUCUAUACACUGCUAGAAAUUAAGAAGUUUAGAAGUUUUUUAUUGAUCAAAAAUUUCAAAAACAAUAUAUUCUUUUCACAUACUUUCCUGCAGUGUAUACAUAUUUGAUAUUAUCAUUACACUAUUUACACAGUACAUUUUCUGUUUUUAAAAAAGUGAAGAAUUCAUUUCGGUAAAGUUUGAUAUGAAAGUGUUAGUAUUAAAUUUCAUUUCACAUUCAGCAUAUAUUUUGUAAUGAUUGCUUGAAUGGAAUGCACAUAUUGAUCCUUGAAUUUACAGGAUUACAAGGAAUGCUAUAUAGGAUAGAUUAUGUGAAAAGUUCAACAAUUCCUGCAGUUUUCUAAUCCUUUAAUAUAUAGCAGUUUGUCCUUGAAAUGGCUUUGAUAGUCUCAGUGUUUCAUCUGAAACAUGGAAAAGUUUCAAAUUCAAGAUACAUUUAUAACAUUCCUUUUCACUUUAAUCACAGGGAUUGAUGGUCACUCCUGGCCUUCAUUUUAAAGUUAAGAUUUUCCAAUGUUCAGUGUGUUGCUGCAAGUUGUUUAUUUGUGAAAUUGCACUAACUGCAAUAUUAUUUUAAUUUCUAUAAAAACUUAAUGCCUGGCUGUUUCAAGGACAUCAAAUGAUUGUAGAAAUAUUAAAGAACUUUACAAGGAAAUUGAACAACAAUUUGUGCAGUAGAAUAGUGGUUGGACUCCCUACCUUAUAAGAUAACUUGUGGUAGGUGUGGUUUAGAUAACAGAUGUUCAUGUGUAAAGAUAAAAUCAAUACCACCUACACCUCAAACCGGUGACAGCUGGCUACAUAAAUCAUACAUAAAUACAUAUAUAUUCCAUUAAAAAAAACUUUUAUCGCGUAAUGGAAUAUGGUUACAACUUAUAUUCUUCAAAUUAAACUGCUGUCGUUUGAUGAAAUUUCAUUUUACAUGAAGUACUUACCUUUGCAGCAUUACCAAAACGAAUACAUCUGAUUUCUAUAAAACAUUUCAUGCUCUAGUAGUUUUUAGAUAAAGGAUAAUUAGUUUUUGAAGCUACUGAAAAAUUCUUAUACAUACAUGUAAUAACUACCUAAACUUAAAACUGUUAGGAUGUAAAAGUAAAAAACAAUUGGUGUGUAUUUUAUGUAUUUAAAAACAUUU